GGGGAUACACUUAGAGUCCCCAGCGUGAGAGUGUUAAUAGUGGAGGUCUUUGGCCGGACCUCACGGUUAGUGAAUC
rfam:Prevotella sp. CAG:487 genomic scaffold, scf82